GACGAACGCUGGCGGCGUGCUUAACACAUGCCAGUCGAACGGAAAGGCCCUGCUUUUGUGGGGUGCUCGAGUGGCGAACGGGUGAGUAACACGUGAGUAACCUGCCCUUGACUUUGGGAUAACUUCAGGAAACUGGGGCUAAUACCGGAUAGGAGCUCCUGCUGCAUGGUGGGGGUUGGAAAGUUUCGGCGGUUGGGGAUGGACUCGCGGCUUAUCAGCUUGUUGGUGGGGUAGUGGCUUACCAAGGCUUUGCCGGGUAGCCGGCCUGAGAGGGUGACCGGCCACAUUGGGACUGAGAUACGGCCCAGACUCCUACGGGAGGCAGCAGUGGGGAAUAUUGCACAAUGGGCGGAAGCCUGAUGCAGCAACGCCGCGUGCGGGAUGACGGCCUUCGGGUUGUAAACCGCUUUCGCCUGUGACGAAGCGUGAGUGACGGUAAUGGGUAAAGAAGCACCGGCUAACUACGUG
rnacentral:rRNA from 1 species